rnacentral:sRNA from 1 species
UAUUGAACAAUGUCGACAAUAGGAGACA